GGGGGGAGAGGGGAAGGGCUUGGACUUAAUUACUUGAGAAAUAUGCCUUGUUAAUCAAAUCUCACACCGAUCAUUAAGUCCUCCCUCUAUUGUUCGAUAUGCACACUUAUUCUUUCUCUAUUUCCUUAGUUUCAUGAAAAAUGCCUCAAGAUUAAAUACUGAAACUGAAUCACAAAGCAACACUAGAGCCAAUGUAUGCUUCUUGUCCUGAAUCCUCAAGAGAAUGAAUUGUAAAAAUAUCAAAUUUUAUGAUUGGCUGGAUUAGACUGGUUCAUUCGAAAUCAAUGCUUCGUUUUGAGAGACCAAUUCAUUGAGUCUCUUUGUCUUUAUUAGUUUUUGACAUCCUUGAUGAAUUUCCAAACUUCAACAUUUCUUUUGGACAAAAAUAAUAUUGUAGGAAAAAAAAAUUAAAAGGAAUGAAUAUUGAAAUGAAAAAAUAAUAGCAAAUAUAAUAUUCAAAAAUUGACAAUUUUAAACUUAGUUAUGGAAAAUAAUAGAGAUUAAAUUUAAGAAUUAAUAGGAAAGUAGAGAACUGGAGAGUUGAGAAAAAUUGUAAAAGUAAUGUAAAUUUUAGUAGGGUUGGGGGUAUUCGCAAGAAAAACAUUUUUCAUUUUCCCAAAAUGCCCAAAAAAAGUAGUUGAUCAACUGUUAUAGAGGGCAAAAUUGACAUUUCACAAAAAAAAAGAAUAAAAGAAAAAA
rnacentral:misc_RNA from 1 species